rnacentral:rRNA from 1 species
ACUCAAAUGAAUUGACGGGGGCCCGCACAAGCGGUGGAGCAUGUGGUUCAAUUCGACGCAACGCGAAGAACCUUACCUGGGCUCGAAGCGCAGGGGACCGGGGUGGAAACAUCCCUUUCUCGCAAGAGACUCCUGCGGAGGUGCUGCAUGGCUGUCGUCAGCUCGUGUCGUGAGAUGUUGGGUUAAGUCCCGCAACGAGCGCAACCCUUAUCCCUAGUUGCUACCAGGUCAAGCUGAGCACUCUAGUGAAACCGCCCCGGAUAACGGGGAGGAAGGUGGGGAUGACGUCAAGUCCUCAUGGCCUUUAUGUCCAGGGCUACACACGUGCUACAAUGCCCGGCACAAACCGUCGCAAACCCGCGAGGGGGAGCUAAUCGGAAAAAGCCGGGCCCAGUUCGGAUUGCAGUCUGCAACUCGACUGCAUGAAGCUGGAAUCGCUAGUAAUCGCGGAUCAGCACGCCGCGGUGAAUACGUUCCCGGGCCUUGUACACACCGCCCGU